GGAGCUUGCUUUGCUUGGGUUAAACCUACAACCCAGGCCAUGACGAGCCACCUAGAUGGCGACUAGAGGAAGCGUAGUGGAGGUGGUCUCCAAGUCACCUUCGACACUCGUCUUUUCCCCCGUGCACGGUGGUUUGGAACCACGUCGGGUUCUAGAGGGGGUUAUAGUGAUGCAGUGGGCUCGUUUGGCAGUUCCACUGGUAACACGGCACUUUACUUGGUUCAUGGGUCAUCGCUUCAACGGGUGAAUCGAUGGUAGCCUUUGUGUGCGUUGCACUCUGUGUUCAGUGGCUCUUGAUCUGGACUGGCCCUUGUCUCUCUUCUUUGGAGGAAUAUGUAUGUAUGCGACGGUAGAGAAAAAGUUGUGAUGUUGGGCGCCCUUACUGUUUACUACCUUUGUUCUUGGCUUGCCACCAGCUUGCUCUCUGGUCGAUCUUCUUCCCUUCAAAUGUUGGCAAAGAUAGAAGAGCAGUAGAAACUCGCUUUCAGUGGGAGAAACAAAGGGAGGGUUUGCUGUCAUGGGAUGAACAUGGGCAUUAUUUCGCCCUUUGCGAUCAGAAAGGGACGGCUGAAAGCGACCAGGAAAUAUAUUGGUUGCACGUCCAGUCCAGAUGGAGAAGAAGAAUAAGCCAAACCAAUCACC
rnacentral:lncRNA from 1 species